UACGGAGGGUGCGAGCGUUGUCCGGAAUCACUGGGCGUAAAGGGCGCGUAGGUGGCGCGGGCAGUCAACGGUGAAAGUUCGGGGCUCAACCCUGAAUCGGCCGUCGAUACUCCCGGGCUUGAGCACUGUAGAGGCAGAUGGAAUUCCAGGUGUAGCGGUGAAAUGCGUAGAUAUCUGGAGGAACACCGGUGGCGAAGGCGGCAUCCUGGACCGACACUGACGCUGAGGAGCGAAAGCCAGGGGAGCAAACGGG
rnacentral:rRNA from 1 species